UACGGAGGGUGCAAGCGUUAAUCGGAAUUACUGGGCGUAAAGCGUGCGUAGGCGGUUCGUUAAGUCUGUUGUGAAAGCCCCGGGCUCAACCUGGGAAUGGCAAUGGAUACUGGCGAGCUAGAGUGUGUCAGAGGAUGGUGGAAUUCCCGGUGUAGCGGUGAAAUGCGUAGAGAUCGGGAGGAACAUCAGUGGCGAAGGCGGCCAUCUGGGACACACUGACGCUGAGGCACGAAAGCGUGGGGAGCAAACAGGGAUUAGAACCGUACCGUA
rnacentral:rRNA from 1 species